GACGAACGCUGGCGGCGUGCUUAACACAUGCAAGUCGAGCGGUAAGGCCCUUUCGGGGGUACACGAGCGGCGAACGGGUGAGUAACACGUGGGUGACCUGCCCUUAGCUCUGGGAUAAGCCUGGGAAACUGGGUCUAAUACCGGAUAUGACUCCAUGACGCAUGUUGUGGGGUGGAAAGCCUUGUGCGGCUAGGGAUGGGCCCGCGGCCUAUCAGCUUGUUGGUGGGGUGAGGCCUACCAAGGCGACGACGGGUGCCGGCCUGAGAGGGCGACCGGCCACACUGGGACUGAGACACGGCCCAGACUCCUACGGGAGGCAGCAGGUGGGGAAUCUUGCGCAAUGGGCGAAAGCCUGACGCAGCGACGCCGCGUGAGGGAUGACGGCCU
rnacentral:rRNA from 1 species